rnacentral:rRNA from 1 species
CCUGGUAGUCCACACGGUAAACGAUGAAACUCGCUGUUUGCGAUAUACAGCAAGCGGCCAAGCAAAAGCGUUAAGUAUUCCACCUGGGAAGUACGCCGACCAACGGUGAACUCAAAGAAAUUGACGGGGGCCCGCACAAAGCGGAAGGAACAUGUGGUUUAAUUCGAUGAUACGCGAGGAACCUUACCCGGGCUUAAAUUGCAGAUGAAUUACGGUGAAAGCCGUAAGCCGCAAGGCAUCUGUGAAGGUGCUGCAUGGUUGUCGUCAGCUCGUGCCGUGAGGUGUCGGCUUAAGUGCCAUAACGAGCGCAACCCUUGUUGUCAGUUACUAACAGGUUCCGCUGAGGACUCUGACAAGACUGCCAUCGUAAGAUGUGAGGAAGGUGGGGAUGACGUCAAAUCAGCACGGCCCUUACGUCCGGGGCUACACACGUGUUACAAUGGGGGGUACAGAGGGCCGCUACCACGCGAGUGGAUGCCAAUCCCAAAAACCUCUCUCAGUUCGGACUGGAGUCUGCAACCCGACUCCACGAAGCUGGAUUCGCUAGUAAUCGCGCAUCAGCCACGGCGCGGUGAAUACGUUCCCGGGCCUUGUACACACCGCCCGUCAAGCCAUGGGAGCCGGGGGUACCUGAAGUGCGUAACCGCGAGGAGCGCCCUAGGGUAAAACUGGUGACUGGGGCUAAGUCGUAACAAGGU